UACGUAGGGUGCAAGCGUUGUCCGGAAUUAUUGGGUGUAAAGAGCUCGUAGGCGGUUUGUCGCGUCUGCUGUGAAAUCUGGGGGGCUCAACCCCCCAGCCUGCAGUGGGUACGGGCAGACUAGAGUGCGGUAGGGGGAGAUUGGAAUUCCUGGUGUAGCGGUGGAAUGCGCAGAUAUCAGGAGGAACACCGAUGGCGAAGGCAGAUCUCUGGGCCGUAACUGACGCUGAGGAGCGAAAAGCAUGGGGAGCGAACAGG
rnacentral:rRNA from 1 species